rnacentral:rRNA from 1 species
CGGUAAUUCCAGCUCCAAUAGCGUAUACUAAAGUUGUUGCAGUUAAAAAGCUCGUAGUUGGAUUUCUGCGGGGACGGAGCGGCCGGACGCAACUUGCGUCUCGAGCUAGCGCUUUCCCCGCAUCCUGCCGCGAACCGUGCUACCAUUAGCUUGGUGGCGCUGGGGAUCGGCUCGAUUACUUUGAGAAAAAUAGAGUGUUCAAAGCAGGCCACACGCCUUGAAUAAGUUAGCAUGGAAUAAUGACUAAGGACUUUGGUUCUUUUCGUUGGUGUUCGGGACUGAAGUAAUGAUUGAUAGGGACAGUUGGGGCGGUCUGUAUUCCAAAGCGAGAGGUGAAAUUCUUAGACCUUCGGAAGACAAACAGCUGCGAAAGCGUUCCGCAAGGAUGUUCCCUUUGAUCAAGAACGAAAGUUGGGGGAUCGAAGACGAUCAGAUACCGUCGUAGUCUCAACUAUAAACUAUACCAGCUAGGGAUCGGCCAACGUUUAAUUAUUCGACUUGGUCGGCACCUUAUGAGAAAUCAAAGCAUCUGGGUUCCGGGGGGAGUAUGGUCGCAAGGCUGAAACUUAAAGGAAUUGACGGAAGGGCACCACCAGGCGUGGAGCCUGUGGCUUAAUUUGACUCAACACGGGAAAACUUACCAGGUCCAGACAUAGGAAGGAUUGACAGAUUGAUAGCUCUUUCUUGAUUCUGUGGGUGGUGGUGCAUGGCCGUUUUUAGUCGGUGAAGUGAUUUGUCUGCUUAAUUGCGUUAACGGACGAGACCCCAGCCUGCUAAAUAGCGCGGCCGAGCUUUGCUCGGUACGAGCUUCUUAGAGGGACCAUGAUGCGCGAUAGCACAAGGAAGUUUGGGGCAACAACAGGUCUGUGAUGCCCUUAGAUGUUCUGGGCCGCACACGGGCUACACUGGCGCCUGCAACGAGCAUAUCAGCUGGCCCGAGAGGGUCUUGGCUAAUCUUUGGAACCGGCGCCGUGCUUGGGAUUGACCAUUGCAAUUGUUGGUCAUGCAACGAGGAAUGCCUUGUAAACGCGAGUCAUCAGCUCGCAUUGAAUACGUCCCUGCCCUUUGUACACACCGCCCGUCGCUCCUACCGAUGAAUGUUCCGAUGAAAUUUUCGGAGAGCGCCGGAGAACGGGGCUCUGCCCUGCAGAACUGGAGGCUCAAAGUCACUUAAAUCUGAACAUUUCGAGGAAGGAGAAGUCGUAACAAGGUAACC